CAAAAUGGCUCUUAAUAGGAGGUGAAAGGGCCAGGACAGGGGAGCAGCCUGCUGGAUAUUCAUCUCCUCACUUCUUCUGAAGAGAGGAUCUUGGCUUCUGCCAUGAAAGAGCAGGGCUGCUCCAUUGCAGAUGCCGAAAACUCAAUGUCCCACCAAUCAAGAGUUCAAGCCAAGAGGGUGCACUGCCUCUGGGUAGGACACAAUCAACAUGUCUGGACUCAAACACCCUGGGGUUAGCCAACAAAACCCCCAAGGCCAGCAAGCUCCAUUUGUUCACGAGCUCUCUCAGGAUUGCACUGAGACAUAGUGAAGAAAAUAAAGAAGAAGACGUCCUGAGGACACACAGCUUACACAGGAUGAGGGCGUCGCUGACUAGGCCAGCAUUUAUUAGCCAUCCCUAAUUGCCCAGACGGCAGUUAAGAGUCAACCACAUUCCUAUGGGCCUGGAGUCACAUGUAGUCCUGACCAGCCUGAGAGGAUUCAUGGAAUAUCCUUGAAAUUUGAAAUGAAGAGCUGAAGAGUGUCAAAGGAACUUCAAACAGCAACACUUCAAAGGGAGAGAUACCAUUUAAAAAAUGAACAGUGAUUUCCUGUGGGUUGUGCUCCUAACUGUGGACAUGAUAAACUGAAAGAAAGUCAGACUGGGUGAAAGGCAUGUUGGUGUUUUGCUCUUCCAAGAAUGUACAAGAAAGGGGGUUAAAAAUCAGCAAAAACCCUUGGUGCCUGUGCUAGCUUGUGGUUCAAAUUACAUUGUGCUGAAGCAUGGUGCGAGGGGUCACUGCUGAGAGCUUCCACUAGACGCCCAUGUGUACGCAGGUCAAAAAGAAAUGAAGAAAUAUCUGAAUGCACAACGGAGGUCAUAGUUGAAGGAAACGGGGGCAAUUUCUUUCAGCUGGCUGUAGAGCCUAGAUUCUCUAAACAACUGCACAACUGUCAAACUCAGCACAAUGGAAAUCAUUCACCUUUAUAGCCAUAACGUUUUUGCAAUCUAUUCAUCAUUCAACACUUUAUUAGAAUUUUACUUUUUGGACUCAUCUCUCAUUUCUGAUCUGUGUAUACAUGUUUUGUCAUCUUUUCUUUUAUGUUAAUAGCAAAUAAACUUGCGCUUUCUUCAACUCAAGAAAA